GGAGGCGUCGCAUAGUGGUCUAGUGCACCGGUUUCGAAAACCGGCAAGGGGCAACCCUUCGUGAGUUCGAAUCUCACCGCCUCCG
rnacentral:tRNA from 1 species